AUGGAAGGCACAAUUCCAAAUUUCCAAGUACAACUCUUCAAGAACAGGAUCUCUGAAGGAACAACAAUUUACAAGCUUGGCGCUUACCAGGUUCAAUAUGCUAGGGAAAGAUACAAAACUGUAGAUCGUCCAUGGAGAGUAGUGUUUGCCCAAAAAACUACCGUGGAACCAAUUGUGCCUCAGCCACCAAACUUUCCCAAGUAUGGAUAUACCACCUACAAUGUACACAGUACCAAAGCUGCAUUAAACAAAUUGUUUUGUUGUCAGUUACCAGCAUCGCAAGAAUAUUUGCGCCGAGCGGCGGAUCGAUUGACCAGAUAUGAGAAAAUCACAUCACAAAUAAUGCCCGCCGUUGUGAUGUUUUGGGGAAAAUUAGCAGAUGCCCUUGAUGCAGACAAGCUACAACGGUGGUCUGCUCAAGAACCCAUUAUAGUUCUAUUUGUUGGCAUGCCAGUACAUGAAUUUAAUGUAAGAAACUUGACCUUCAAGUCCUGUCUGGCAACUCGAUGGUACAUAAAUCCAACUAUUUCUGAAGCGGCAGCUAUUCUAGGAAGAUCUACUGCAAGAUCCCAUCAAAUUGAGAUAAGCACCGGCUCACAGGGUCAUCGCUAG
rnacentral:rRNA from 1 species